GGUUGUAUUAUGAAGUGAUAACGUAUGGUUUAUUUAGUGUUAUCACCGCUCCGUUCCUAAUUGAUUCUUACGCAAACUAAGAGAGAUACAUAGUUGAACUACAAUGUUUACUGCGCCCCAAUUAUGAAGAUGAUUCUUCCUAAAUGUGUAUAUGAAUCAAAAAAUUUGUACCCCAUUAUAUGAAAAUAAGAGUAUGAAAUUUCCCACACUUAUAGAGAAUAUAGAGAAGAAGUGGAGGACAAUGUAUUUGACACACACACACGAAUAUAAUAUACUCUUUUGUUUAUUGUUAAAGUCUGUGUACAAAUUGAAAAUAGAUUGAUAUUGUUUGUCUAUAA